AUUGAACGCUGGCGGCAGGCCUAACACAUGCAAGUCGAGCGAGCGGCAGACGGGUGUGUAAUGUAUGAGGCUCUGCGCGAUAGAGGGAGAUCACUACUGUAAACGGUGGCUAAUCCCGCAUACUAUCGGAUGAACCCCUAUGGGAUUAGCUUGUAGGUGGGGUAAAGGCUCACCUAGGCGACGAUCUCUAGCUGGUCUGAGAGGAUGAUCAGCCACACUGGGACUGAGACACGGCCCAGACUCCUACGGGAGGCAGCAGUGGGGAAUAUUGCACAAUGGGCGCAAGCCUGAUGCAGCCAUGCCGCGUGUAUGAAGAAGGCCUUAGGGUUGUAAAGUACUUUCAGCGGGGAGGCGUUACCCGCAGAAGAAGCACCGGCUAACUCCGUGCCAGCAGCCGCGGUAAUAC
rnacentral:rRNA from 1 species